GGAGAUUUAGCUCAGUGGUAGAGCGCUUGCCUAGGAAGCGCAAGGCCCUGGGUUCGGUUCCCAGCUCCA
rnacentral:tRNA from 1 species